rnacentral:rRNA from 1 species
UUCUAUAGCCGUGCCACCUUGAACAAGCGUGAUCUCAUCUGAUCUCAGAAGCUAACCAGGGUCGGGCCUGUUUAGUACCUGGAUGGAAGACUACCUAGGAAGACCAGGUGCUGUAGGGG